AGACCGGCGCACGGGUGCGUAACGCGUAUGCAUUCUACCUUUUACAGGGGGAUAGCCCAGAGAAAUUUGGAUUAGUACCCCAUGGUAUUACAGAGUGGCAUCACUUUGUACUUAAAGUCACAACGGUAAAAGAUGAGCAUGCGUCCCAUUAGCUAGUUGGUAGGGUAACGGCCUACCAAGGCUACGAUGGGUAGGGGUCCUGAGAGGGAGAUCCCCCACACUGGUACUGAGCCACGAUCGAACUCUCUACGGGAGGCAGCAGUGAGGAAUAUUGGUCAAUGGACGCAAGUCUGAACCAGCCAUGCCGCGUGCAGGAUGACGGUCCUAUGGAUUGUAAACUGCUUUUGUACGAGAAGAAACACUGAUUCGUGAAUCAGCUUGACGGUAUCGUAAGAAUAAGGAUCGGCUAACUCCGUGCCAGCAGCCGCGGUAAUACGGAGGAUCCAAGCGUUAUCCGGAAUCAUUGGGUUUAAAGGGUCCGUAGGCGGUCUUGUAAGUCAGUGGUGAAAGCCCAUCGCUCAACGGUGGAACGGCCAUUGAUACUGCAGGACUUGAAUUACUGGGAAGUAACUAGAAUAUGUAGUGUAGCGGUGAAAUGCUUAGAGAUUACAUGGAAUACCAAUUGCGAAGGCAGGUUACUACCAGUGGAUUGACGCUGAUGGACGAAAGCGUGGGUAGCGAACAGGAUUAGAUACCCUGGUAGUCCACGCCGUAAACGAUGGAUACUAGCUGUUGGGGGCGACCUCAGUGGCUAAGCGAAAGUGAUAAGUAUCCCACCUGGGGAGUACGUUCGCAAGAAUGAAACUCAAAGGAAUUGACGGGGGCCCGCACAAGCGGUGGAGCAUGUGGUUUAAUUCGAUGAUACGCGAGGAACCUUACCAAGGCUUAAAUGCAGACUGACCGAUUUGGAAACAGAUCUUUCGCAAGACAGUUUACAG
rnacentral:rRNA from 1 species